rnacentral:rRNA from 1 species
UAAGUUAGAAAGGGCGCACGGUGGAUGCCUUGACACUAGGAGUCGAUGAAGGACGGGACUAGCGCCGAUAUGCUUCGGGGAGCUGUAAGUAAGCUUUGAUCCGAAGAUUUCCGAAUGGGGAAACCCACCAUACGUAAUGGUAUGGUAUCCUUAUCUGAAUACAUAGGGUAAGGAAGACAGACCCAGGGAACUGAAACAUCUAAGUACCUGGAGGAAGAGAAAGCAAAUGCGAUUUCCUGAGUAGCGGCGAGCGAAACGGAACAUAGCCCAAACCAAGAGGCUUGCCUCUUGGGGUUGUAGGACAUUCUAUACGGAGUUACAAAGGAACGAGGUAGACGAAGCGACCUGGAAAGGUCCGUCGUAGAGGGUAACAACCCCGUAGUCGAAACUUCGUUCUCUCUUGAAUGUAUCCUGAGUACGGCGGAACACGUGAAAUUCCGUCGGAAUCUGGGAGGACCAUCUCCCAAGGCUAAAUACUCCCUAGUGAUCGAUAGUGAACCAGUACCGUGAGGGAAAGGUGAAAAGCACCCCGGAAGGGGAGUGAAAGAGAUCCUGAAACCGUGUGCCUACAAAUAGUCAGAGCCCGUUAACGGGUGAUGGCGUGCCUUUUGUAGAAUGAACCGGCGAGUUACGAUCCCGUGCGAGGUUAAGCUGAAGAGGCGGAGCCGCAGCGAAAGCGAGUCUGAAUAGGGCGUUUAGUACGUGGUCGUAGACCCGAAACCAGGUGAUCUACCCAUGUCCAGGGUGAAGUUCAGGUAACACUGAAUGGAGGCCCGAACCCACGCACGUUGAAAAGUGCGGGGAUGAGGUGUGGGUAGCGGAGAAAUUCCAAUCGAACCUGGAGAUAGCUGGUUCUCCCCGAAAUAGCUUUAGGGCUAGCCUUAAGUGUAAGAGUCUUGGAGGUAGAGCACUGAUUGGACUAGGGGUCCUCAUCGGAUUACCGAAUUCAGUCAAACUCCGAAUGCCAAUGACUUAUCCUUAGGAGUCAGACUGCGAGUGAUAAGAUCCGUAGUCAAAAGGGAAACAGCCCAGACCGCCAGCUAAGGUCCCAAAGUGUGUAUUAAGUGGAAAAGGAUGUGGAGUUGCUUAGACAACUAGGAUGUUGGCUUAGAAGCAGCCACCAUUUAAAGAGUGCGUAAUAGCUUACUAGUCGAGUGACUCUGCGCCGAAAAUGUACCGGGGCUAAAUACACCACCGAAGCUGCGGAUUGAUACCAAUGGUAUCAGUGGUAGGGGAGCGUUCUAAGGACAGUGAAGUCAGACCGGAAGGACUGGUGGAGUGCUUAGAAGUGAGAAUGCCGGUAUGAGUAGCGAAAGACGGGUGAGAAUCCCGUCCACCGAAUGCCUAAGGUUUCCUGAGGAAGGCUCGUCCGCUCAGGGUUAGUCAGGACCUAAGCCGAGGCCGACAGGCGUAGGCGAUGGACAACAGGUUGAUAUUCCUGUACCACCUCUUUAUCGUUUGAGCAAUGGAGGGACGCAGAAGGAUAGAAGAAGCGUGCGAUUGGUUGUGCACGUCCAAGCAGUUAGGCUGAUAAGUAGGCAAAUCCGCUUAUCGUGAAGGCUGAGCUGUGAUGGGGAAGCUCCUUAUGGAGCGAAGUCUUUGAUUCCCCGCUGCCAAGAAAAGCUUCUAGCGAGAUAAAAGGUGCCUGUACCGCAAACCGACACAGGUAGGCGAGGAGAGAAUCCUAAGGUGUGCGAGAGAACUCUGGUUAAGGAACUCGGCAAAAUGACCCCGUAACUUCGGGAGAAGGGGUGCUUUCUUAACGGAAAGCCGCAGUGAAUAGGCCCAAGCGACUGUUUAGCAAAAACACAGCUCUCUGCGAAGCCGUAAGGCGAAGUAUAGGGGGUGACACCUGCCCGGUGCUGGAAGGUUAAGGAGAGGGGUUAGCGUAAGCGAAGCUCUGAACUGAAGCCCCAGUAAACGGCGGCCGUAACUAUAACGGUCCUAAGGUAGCGAAAUUCCUUGUCGGGUAAGUUCCGACCCGCACGAAAGGUGUAACGAUUUGGGCACUGUCUCAACCAGAGACUCGGUGAAAUUAUAGUACCUGUGAAGAUGCAGGUUACCCGCGACAGGACGGAAAGACCCCGUGGAGCUUUACUGUAGCCUGAUAUUGAAUUUUGGUACAGUUUGUACAGGAUAGGCGGGAGCCUUUGAAACCGGAGCGCUAGCUUCGGUGGAGGCGCUGGUGGGAUACCGCCCUGACUGUAUUGAAAUUCUAACCUACGGGUCUUAUCGACCCGGGAGACAGUGUCAGGUGGGCAGUUUGACUGGGGCGGUCGCCUCCUAAAGUGUAACGGAGGCGCCCAAAGGUUCCCUCAGAAUGGUUGGAAAUCAUUCGUAGAGUGCAAAGGCAUAAGGGAGCUUGACUGCGAGACCUACAAGUCGAGCAGGGACGAAAGUCGGGCUUAGUGAUCCGGUGGUUCCGCAUGGAAGGGCCAUCGCUCAACGGAUAAAAGCUACCCCGGGGAUAACAGGCUUAUCUCCCCCAAGAGUCCACAUCGACGGGGAGGUUUGGCACCUCGAUGUCGGCUCAUCGCAUCCUGGGGCCGUAGUCGGUCCCAAGGGUUGGGCUGUUCGCCCAUUAAAGCGGUACGCGAGCUGGGUUCAGAACGUCGUGAGACAGUUCGGUCCCUAUCCGUCGUGGGCGUAGGAAAUUUGAGAGGAGCUGUCCUUAGUACGAGAGGACCGGGAUGGACGCACCGCUGGUGUACCAGUUGUUCUGCCAAGGGCAUAGCUGGGUAGCUAUGUGCGGAAGGGAUAAGUGCUGAAAGCAUCUAAGCAUGAAGCCCCCCUCAAGAUGAGAUUUCCCAUAGCGUAAGCUAGUAAGAUCCCUGAAAGAUGAUCAGGUUGAUAGGUUCGAGGUGGAAGCAUGGUGACAUGUGGAGCUGACGAAUACUAAUAGAUCGAGGACUUAACCA